rnacentral:lncRNA from 1 species
AACAGAGACUGGUUCAAGGGAGAUUCGGACACAUCUCCACCUCCAAAGCCAAGUGCCUUCCCGGGAUGAUCUGCAUAACAAUUUGCGGGUGCUGGUGGUGGAGAAGCUCCGGGAAGAGAAAACUAGCCGGACGGUAUCGAACCGCCCGCAGGCCCGUCGCAGCUCCAUUAAUGCAACUACCAUUACACUAAGUAUCUCCUAUAGGGCUCUUCAAACUGUGGUCAACUUAGUAAAUGAUGUUGACAGUGGAAGUGUGAUCAUUUUAUUUUCCUGCCUUUGGAAUUGAAGAUUGUAAUUUUGCAAAAAUUUUGUUGAAGAUGAUGUAGCUUUGGUUCAGAGAGCUGGAGUACAAUGGCACCAUCUCAGCUCGCCGCAACCUCCACCUCCUGGGUUCAAGCGAUUCUCCUGCCUCAGCCUCCCGAGUAGCUGGGAUUACAGGUUCCAAGUCUCUUCUUCGGCCUCUCAAACAUGGUACCAUCCCUAAUGAAGUCAACGGGUCCAGCAUGACAGGAUGGAAGUACAAGUGUCAGCACCUAUGUGAGUCCCAAGAGGGGAAAUUAGAAACAAAAAGGAAGAAGAGGACAUAGGCCAGGCACGGCGGCUCACGCCUGUAAUCCCAACACUUUGGGAGGCCAAGGUGGGCAGAUCACCUGAGGUCAGGAGUUCAAGACCAGCCUGGUCAACAUGGCAAAAGCCCAUCUCUACUAAAAAAUACAAAAAAUUAGCCAGGCGUGGUGGUGGGAGCCUGUAAUCCCACCUACUCGGGAGGCUGAGGCAGGAGAAUUGCUUCAAUCUGGGAGGCAGAGGUUGCAGUGAGCUGAGAUCGUGCCAUUGCACUCCAGCCUGGGCGACAGAGUAAGACUCUGUCUCAGAAAAAAAAAAAAAAAAAGGAAAAAAA